CUGUCAUAUUUGCAGAAGUCGUAUUUAUCAUCCAAUAUUACCGUGGAUAAACGGUGAUGGCAGCAUGAAUAGCACUGUCUAUGAAGGUUUAAGCCGUCGUAUUAUUGGAUAUGUCAUGCAAUAUCCAGGAAUUUCGGAGGAGGACGUAAUCCGUCGGAUGGAUGUACUGAAUCCUCAGACAUGCAGGACCUUGCUGGGGAAGCUGACAAUUGACAAACACCUGUAUGUUCAUGUUGGGGUGUUUGAUGAAGAUGUGCCUGGUGCUCCC